rnacentral:lncRNA from 1 species
GCUUGCAGAAGCCAUAUGAACCAGCACCGAGCUUAAUUGUGCUGGCAUCAUAUAUUUGAUCCAACAGCUCCAAACGGUGGUCGAUCAGUUCCGGCCGGUAGACAAAUCGGAAGUUAUUAAAGCCAACUUAAACAAUGGCCUUGCAUGCUUGAGUUCGAGUUCUCUAUAGAAAAUGAGGGAAGAAAGUGAACUCUGACAAACCAAAAGUAAGUAACCAUAGUUUUUUGUUUUUGUUUUUAUUUUUUAUUUUGAAAAAAAGAAAUUACAACGAAGAGCCUCUCAGAUGACCAAUACAAGAAGAAUCCAUAAGAAGAGCCAUCUGAGCUUGGGGAGGGAUCCCAUCAAACCAACACAUUGAUGAGGAAAGAGAAUGACCAACCGAAGCAAGAGCGUCCGUAAGAAAAUUCGCUUCUCUGUACAUAUGGGAGAAAGUGAUGCUGACAAAAGAAUUGGCAAGAGCUAAGACAUCUCGGAUCACAGACUUAAGCUUCUAAGGAAUAGCACAAGACCUUUUGACACAAUUGAUGAUAAGGGAAGAAUCUUCUUCAACUUUGAUUUGGUUACAGUUGCGUCUUCGAUAUGGUCAGUAAGUAACCAUAGUUGUGGUAGUGCAAUUCAUAAUAAAUUUAGUUGCAUUAUCAAUAUAAUCCUUUAUAGUCUUCGACAAGAUCACAAUUUCUGAGAUGACUCAAAAUUGUCUCCUUGUAGUUAAGGCCAGUGAAUUGUGAUGACUGAUGAUGACUCAGAGGUCCCGGAAAUAAGACAUCUUCCUUUUCUCUGCUAUCAUGAUCUGCAGCUAGAAAUUAAGGUCAAGCUAGCACUCACACCCGCACAUGUCAUUUCAAAAUGGUACAUUUGUGGUCCAAGGCUAGCAAAGCAACAGAUUUUGUAUAGUAGGAAAAGGCAAAAUCUGAUGGUGAAUGGUGAUGGACCUUGUGACAUAUACUAGGAUACAAGAUGUAUAUAGGACGUUCAUCUUCCAUUUGUCACAUCUUCCAUAGGUAACAAAUUUUAAGCUCAUAUACACGCGUACGUUUGAAAGGAAGAUGUUAUAGGAUG